AUGAUAGAUGCAUGGACUGACAUAAGAGGAAGAGGGGUAAUGAAUCUGGUAGUUCAUAGUGCAUAUGGUGUGGUUUUUCUUGAUUCUGUGGAUUGUUCAGCUAUGAAGAAAAAUGGCAAGUACAUCUUUGAGCUUGUUGAUAGGUGCAUAGAAGAGAUUGGGGAGAAAAAUGUGAUUCAAGUUGUGACUGAUAAUUCAAGUGUGAAUCAAGCAGCAUCUACUUUGUUGAAAGCAAAGAGUCCAAAGAUAUUUUGGAAUGGUUGUGCUGCCCACUCUAUUGAUCUGAUGCUACCUAAUGAGGGACUUCCUUGGGAAAGAUUUGGUUAG
rnacentral:rRNA from 1 species